rnacentral:rRNA from 1 species
UAGUUGGUAAGGUAACGGCUUACCAAGGCGACGAUCAGUAGCCGACCUGAGAGGGUGAUCGGCCACAUUGGAACUGAGACACGGUCCAAACUCCUACGGGAGGCAGCAGUGGGGAAUAUUGCACAAUGGGCGAAAGCCUGAUGCAGCAACGCCGCGUGAGUGAUGAAGGCCUUCGGGUCGUAAAACUCUGUCCUCAAGGAAGAUAAUGACGGUACUUGAGGAGGAAGCCCCGGCUAACUACGUUCCAGCAGCCGCGGUACUAUGUUGGGGGCUAGGGUGGUCCGGAUUUACUGGGCGGAAAGGGUGCGGUGGCGGUAUUUCACGACGGGAGAGAAAGACAACGGCUCGACCGUAGUAAGCUCGUGAAAGUGGGAGACGUGAGUGAUGGAGAGGAGAGGGGAAUUCCUGGAGUAGCAGUGAAAUGCGUAGAUAUUAGGAGGAACACCAGUUGCGAAGACGGCUCUCUUUACUGAUACUUCCGCUUAGGCACGUAAGCAUGGUGAGCAAACAGGAUUAGAUGCCCUGGUAGCACACGCUGUUAACGAUGAGUACUAGGUGUCGGGGGUUACCCCC